rnacentral:rRNA from 1 species
AUUGAACGCUGGCGGCAGGCUUAACACAUGCAAGUCGAGCGGAGCGAGGGUGCUUGCACCUUAGCUUAGCGGCGGACGGGUGAGUAAUGCUUAGGAAUCUGCCUAUUAGUGGGGGACAACAUUCCGAAAGGAAUGCUAAUACCGCAUACGCCCUACGGGGGAAAGCAGGGGAUCUUCGGACCUUGCGCUAAUAGAUGAGCCUAAGUCGGAUUAGCUAGUUGGUGGGGUAAAGGCCUACCAAGGCGACGAUCUGUAGCGGGUCUGAGAGGAUGAUCCGCCAAACUGGGACUGGGACACGGCCCAGACUCCUACGGGAGGCAGCAGUGGGGAAUAUUGGACAAUGGGCGGAAGCCUGAUCCAGCCAUGCCGCGUGUGUGAAGAAGGCCUUUUGGUUGUAAAGCACUUUAAGCGAGGAGGAGGCUACUUAGAUUAAUACUCUGGGAUAGUGGACGUUACUCGCAGAAUAAGCACCGGCUAACUCUGUGCCAGCAGCCGCAGUAACAC